rnacentral:rRNA from 1 species
GCGAACGGGUGAGUAACACGUGGGCAAUCUGCCCUUCACUCUGGGACAAGCCCUGGAAACGGGGUCUAAUACCGGAUAACACUCUGUCCCGCAUGGGACGGGGUUAAAAGCUCCGGCGGUGAAGGAUGAGCCCGCGGCCUAUCAGCUUGUUGGUGGGGUAAUGGCCUACCAAGGCGACGACGGGUAGCCGGCCUGAGAGGGCGACCGGCCACACUGGGACUGAGACACGGCCCAGACUCCUACGGGAGGCAGCAGUGGGGAAUAUUGCACAAUGGGCGAAAGCCUGAUGCAGCGACGCCGCGUGAGGGAUGACGGCCUUCGGGUUGUAAACCUCUUUCAGCAGGGAAGAAGCGAAAGUGACGGUACCUGCAGAAGAAGCGCCGGCUAACUACGUGCCAGCAGCCGCGGUAAUACGUAGGGCGCAAGCGUUGUCCGGAAUUAUUGGGCGUAAAGAGCUCGUAGGCGGCUUGUCACGUCGGAUGUGAAAGCCCGGGGCUUAACCCCGGGUCUGCAUUCGAUACGGGCUAGCUAGAGUGUGGUAGGGGAGAUCGGAAUUCCUGGUGUAGCGGUGAAAUGCGCAGAUAUCAGGAGGAACACCGGUGGCGAAGGCGGAUCUCUGGGCCAUUACUGACGCUGAGGAGCGAAAGCGUGGGGAGCGAACAGGAUUACAUACCCUGGUAGUCCACGCCGUAAACGUUGGGAACUAGGUGUUGGCGACAUUCCACGUCGUCGGUGCCGCAGCUAACGCAUUAAGUUUCCCCGCCUGGGGAGUA